GGAAUAUCAAUAUCUGGUGAUCCACUACCUGAUUCCAGUUAUGCUUAUCCUGGUUUUAGGAUCACAGCUUGUAGUAAUACAACACUCAUCAGAUGACUCAACGCAUGAGGUCGCUUUAGAAGAUUUAGGUUCUUCCCCUUGAGAAUCGAUUCUUUUAGAUAUUCCACUUUCACUAGCAACAGUAUCUAAGGAUGCCACCACAAACGAUGAUUCAAGCUGCUGAAUAUGAUCGCAAUUCUUCUUCAGUAUAUUCUGCUGAUUUCCCUGAUGGCUUAAUUUCUCAAACUCCGACUUCUUAUAGAAAUAAGCUUGUGAAGCCUCUUCAACUGUGUCAAAAGUCCCCAACCGGACUCUCUUAUGCGUAAAUGGAUCUGUAAUUACAGCUUCAUAUCUCCCAUUCUUUUGCCUUCUGGCUCCAAUCAAG
rnacentral:misc_RNA from 1 species